GGAUUUCUCUUCCGAGGAGCAAAGAAGUGACUUCCAGGAGGGAGCUGUUGUAACCUGCUACUCUAAAGGAAGAGAUACUGAUGAUGUCCAGGAACUGACAGCUUACUUGCACAACCUACAGAAGUCAGAGAGAGAUGAUGUGGUAAUCUCAAAGGCAAGAAGUACUCCUAACAGAAUGAGAUAAAUUUUGCUUUUACUGGCUUUGAGAAGGAUUUUCUGCAAAUGCAUGCAUAUCCUAUGGAUAGCAAUGAGUAGUAUGCAUGUUAGUAGUUGCUGAUCUCUAUGAGGAUCUUCACUUAUUCCAUCACUGCUAAGUUUCUCAACACUCCUAAAUAAAAGCCAUUACCCUGAAGUCCAUGUUAACAGUGUGCACCACAUCGCACCUAUGUACGUACUUACUGGCACGCUUAAAGAACUCUGUAAUUGUGCAGAAG